GUCAAAGCUUUCUCAUGACUCCAUGAGAGGCUGACGUUUGUCUGCAUUUUCCCCUCCCCACGUUCUAUAAAUACAGGCCUGCUCUUCUCACAAGCUCCCCCCACCACUCACCAACAUUGGGGUUUUUUUCUCUCCUUUUUUUUUUUAAAAAUUUCAGUAUGGAAGAAUCUGUUAAGCUCAGGAGGGAUAGCGCCAUGGAUGAUCCAUCUUUCAAGCUUUCAUGCAUGUAUUUUAUUUGAUCCUCAUAUAGCGCUAUCCAUCCUGAGUUUCAUCGGUUCUUCUUGCUUGCUGUCGCUCCGUUAGCUGAAAAAGGAACACACAAAAAUCUUGUGGGUUCCACGAAUCCACUAGAAAGGGGGAGAAAGUGUUGAAGAAAAUUCCCCUUUGUUGUAUAAAUUGGAGAAACAAACAAAUAAGGGGCCUUAUAUUUGUGGACAUAAUUAGUUUGGUCCUCUAAUGCACAUGCGGAAAUGAUGCUUCUGCUUGUAUUUGGUGUUACGGAGAGGCACUGUCGCUGUUAUAAAUUAAGUAAUAAACACUAUUAUGUGCAUGAAAUUAUUGAAAGGAUGUAAUUUGUCUUAUUGUAGCAGUGGACAUUGAAUGAGAGUGGAGAGUAUGGCAUGUGCUUAGGUGCAGCCUGCAGGUCUCCUUUUGCUUUUACUGGCCUUUACCAUGCUCCAACUAAUGGGGGUUGACAUGAUAUUCCGAUUUAUAAUAAUAAUAUUAUUAUUGAAUAA